UGGGGAAUUUUGGACAAUGGGCGAAAGCCUGAUCCAGCAAUGCCGCGUGUGUGAAGAAGGCCUUCGGGUUGUAAAGCACUUUUGUCCGGAAAGAAAUCCUUGGCUCUAAUACAGUCGGGGGAUGACGGUACCGGAAGAAUAAGCACCGGCUAACUACGUGCCAGCAGCCGCGGUAAUACGUAGGGUGCAAGCGUUAAUCGGAAUUACUGGGCGUAAAGCGUGCGCAGGCGGUUUGUAAGACCGAUGUGAAAUCCCCGGGCUAACCUGGGAACUGCAUUGCGNCUGCAGGCUAGAGUAUGGCAGAGGGGGGUAGAAUUCCACGUGUAGCAGUGAAAUGCGUAGAGAUGUGGAGGAAUACCGAUGGCGAAGGCAGCCCCCUGGG
rnacentral:rRNA from 1 species